AGUGAACGCUGGCGGUAGGCCUAACACAUGCAAGUCGAACGGCAGCACAGUAAGAGCUUGCUCUUACGGGUGGCGAGUGGCGGACGGGUGAGGAAUACAUCGGAAUCUACUUUUUCGUGGGGGAUAACGUAGGGAAACUUACGCUAAUACCGCAUACGACCUACGGGUGAAAGCAGGGGAUCUUCGGACCUUGCGCGAUUGAAUGAGCCGAUGUCGGAUUAGCUAGUUGGCGGGGUAAAGGCCCACCAAGGCGACGAUCCGUAGCUGGUCUGAGAGGAUGAUCAGCCACACUGGAACUGAGACACGGUCCCGGCUCCUACGGGAGGCAGCAGUGGGGAAUAUUGGACAAUGGGCGCAAGCCUGAUCCAGCCAUACCGCGUGGGUGAAGAAGGCCUUCGGGUUGUAAAGCCCUUUUGUUGGGAAAGAAAAGCAGCAGGUUAAUACCCCGCUGUUCUGACGGUACCCAAAGAAUAAGCACCGGCUAACUUCGUG
rnacentral:rRNA from 1 species